GCUCCCUGUGCCUGGCUGCAUGCUAGAGAAAUGCAUCAUGAGUUUCCUCACUCAGGCCUCAGGAACUGGAUUAUGACCUGUGUCAUGCAGCCACCCAGGGAGGACGACACUGGGUGUUGCUCUAUCACACAGCAUCAUGCAGCAGCAGCAGCACAAGCCCUGCAGCUGCAAAGCCACAGCAAGGGAUCCUUCUGUGCCCUGUCAGAAGUGUGGACCUGCCAAUACUGUCUUUGGUUGUCUCCUGUCCUGGUGCAGCCAACAUCCUACAGGAUACAGCACAACACAACCAGUAGAGAGGCAAACUGUGUUUUACGGAGCUGGGGGCCAGGUUUGUGCUGCUUUCGCUCCGUGCUGCUAGGUGGCAAUAUGCUACCUAGAAAACCACCAGCUCCACACCACCACCGCACUCCUCUGCUUCAGACCCAGCUGGGACCCGCUGAGCACUGGCAAAAGGGGACAAGGCCUUCGAGCAGGACCUUCAAUCAAUGAGGUUUUCCAGAACCAAAUGCUGGAUGGAAUCCUGACAUAAAAAUUCUCUCCUCUGGGAGCCAGAGAGGGAAAAUAAGAGGCAAGCUCUCUGCUGCAGUUAUUUCUGCUGAUCACAGGCUCACAGGGUGUUAGGGGUUGGAAGGGACCCAAGGAGAUCAUCGAGUCCACCCCCCUGCCAGAGCAGGACCACACAUUCUAGCAUAGAUGACAGAGGAAUGCAUCCAGACAGGCCUUGGAAGGCUCCAGAGAGGAGACUACACAGCAAGAGCAAAACCUGAGAAGCCUUUGAUAGCAUUUUGGUUACCUGAGCUCCCCGAGCCUCUUAGG